CAUCACCAGCUACUGUCACAUGUCCUUUGCUUAGCUUUCCAAAUAUGAUGCCCCAUGGCUGCCUAAACAUCAACGGUGCCCAUGUUAAUGUUGAAAGAUCAGCAUGGCGGACCACGUCUAGGUAUGUUGAAGGAAACUUUUCUACAUGUUUCUCAAGUACAUGUUUCUGUAUUUGUUCGGGCUCUCCUGCCAUCUUAUCUCCUGAAUUGAAAAUUAGUUCAGAAUAAAUGUUCCCCGCAAUGAUCUGACAUGAACGAUCAUUUGUGUCCAGCUAAAACGAGAAAUAAGGAAGGGUUUAGUGCUAACCGCUGUAGGUUAAAAACCAGUAAAGUUCUCUGUCAUUAAGAGGAACAAAACCAGCUCUUUUGCCCACAUCCACGAACUGAUGAACUUCUUGCUUAAAUCCAUGGCCUUGAGGAAAAACUGCUAAACCUCGCACAGCUGACCGCCCUGAAUGGACAGGUUCUGCCAGUCCUAGCCAACGUGCCACCACCGAGUUCACCCCAUCACAGCCUAUCAGAACCUUAGAUUUGAUUGUAGUUCCAUCUUCCAAAUGUAUAACAACAAUGGAAGCACCGCCUUGCUCUUCAUUUUCAAUGACAGCUAGCUUGGAAGAGAAUUGAAUUGAGUCAACCGGCAAUUCCUCUGCCAGUGCCUCUAACAGUGCUUUGCGGUGAAGUGUCCUAAUUCCUUGUACAUCGCCCCUAUUUCACACAAGACAAGGCAUUAAUUCACACCCAGAACUACGUCAUAGGAAGCGAAUGUUGAUGAGAGUGGAGUUUUGUCGGCAUACACAUGAAGGAAUCCGGUCUGUCCAUUAUAAAUCAAUAUUACUAUAAUAUUGAACCGACAAAAAUUUCUUUUAUGAUUCGUACAGCCAUUCAUACUACAGAUCCUUGCAUGAAAUUGUACUAAAAAAUUAAUCAAGAAAUUAUUUUAUUAAGGUUCAAAAAGUUUACCCAGUAUUGGCCACUCGGAAGAGGACUUGUUGAACAUCUCCAGCACUAACAUUGGUUACAUAUCCCCUAAAUCAUACAAGGGGAAAAGAAAAGUGCACAGGAAACUAAUCAAUCACCCAGAAGAUAUAUAAUAUUCAAAUUCAAGAAACGAUGGACAGACAUGAUCAAAAGAAUAGAAUUAGUGUAGAGGAACAACUUAUUACAUCGAUGUAGGAGCAUAAAUGGGGGUGAGCUUGUGAGAAACACCAAGAGCAUCAAGAGCAGGCCAAGCAUUUGGAAAUAGAGUCAAGGCUGCACCUGUGGCUCUUAGCCCUUCUGAUCUCUCUAACACCAGGGCUCGAACCCCUACUCUUUUCAAAGCCACUGCUGUUGCCAACCCUGCAAUUCCUGCUCCGACUAUCACCACAUCCUCCAUCAUUUCCAUCUCUCUCUCCCUCUGCGUGUAUGAGUGUUUCCUUCCACAGGGUGCCUCGUCUUGUUCUUAUUAUAACCCCAUGUGCUUGGACUCCAAGUCUGACCAUGACGCACUUGUAUACAUAGUAUCUUAAUGUUUUUCUUCAUGGUUAUCGAGCCACUUUGCGAGUUAAUAAAACUAAAUCUCUUUUUUUGAACUAUUUAAAUAAAUAAAUAAAAAACUAGAGGCGGCUCUUUGGUUAUUUAACGUAUAUUUUAAGAGAAUUUUUUUAUUUAAUUUUUUUUAAUGUUUUCAAUCGAUUUGAUAUAUUGAUAUCAAAAAUAAUUUUUUUAAAUAAAAAAAUAUUAUUUUGAUAUAUUUCAGAGUAAAAAACACUUUAAAAAAUAACAACUACCACACUCUCAAACAUCCUUUUAAAGAGCUGCUGUGACAUUGUAUUGUUUUAGGGUUUUCAUUUUAUUUUUGCGUUUCAAAAACGUUUUUGAAAAAAUUUAAAAUUUUUUAAUGUUUUUCUUUGCUUCAAAAUUUUUUUUGGUGUUUUUAAUUCAUUUUCAUGCGUAGAUAUUAAAAAUAAUUUUUAAAAAAUAAAAAAAAUAUUAUUUUGAUAUAUUUACUAGUAAAAAAUACUUUAAAAAAUAACAACAACCACCUUAAAAUGUGGUUUGUUAUAGUUGAGAUUAUAUUUUGUUGUUAUUAUUAUAGCUUUUGAAAGUGUUUUAAUUAAUUAAUAUAUAUUAGAUAUUUUACUUAAAAAUCUUUCUUGAAAUUUUUGUUAAAAAAAAUAUAAUUUAUAAUUAUUUUUAAACUAAUUGUUUUAAACACCACUGCAAAAACUACUAAGAUACUGUAUACACAUUUGUAUAACACAAUUUUUAGAACCAAAGGUAAUAUUAUAAUGUUUGUAUUUGUGUUUUAAAAGUAUUUUUUUAAAAAAUAAUUUUUUAAUUUUUAUUUACUUUAAAUUAAUAUUAUUUUUUUUAGAAUUUUUAGAUCAUGCAUUUAUCUCAAAAAUAAAUUUUUAAUAUAAAAAAAAUAUUAUUUUAAUAUAUACCACAACCACCAAACCCAAGGUGAACUUGUAAGUGCUCCUCCGAUGACAAGAUUCCAUACGUUUUGAAAUCGACAACGUUUGUUUAAACAAUCUCUCUCUCUCUCUCUCUCUCUCUCUAUAUAUAUAUAUAUAUAUAUAUAUUAAAGUAAAAGCAUUUUUGUUUGUGGUCGUGGAAUCCACAGCACAUACAAAUUAAAGUAACCCACAGCACAUACAAAUUAAAGUAACCCCUACCGCGUGAUAAAGAAUUGUUUAAGCCAUAAAGUUAAGCAAUCAUUUCAUAUUUUAUUAAAUUAAAUCAUAAUUAUUAAAUUUAGGCAACAUGAUGGGUCAAAGAACCAUCUCAACCCAAAAACUUAAGCUAUUAGGUGAGGUUCCAGAAUAUGAUUUAUAUUAUUCCCUAACACACCCCCUCAAGUGAAAACCCUUUGGGCUUGAAACUUGCACAGACCCACAUUACCUUGUGCUUAAUUUUUAUCAAAUAAAUAGGGAUGAUGAGAUUCGAACUCGAGACCAUUUGGUCAUCAAGGCUCUAAUACCAUGUCAAAGAACCAUCUCAACCCAAAAGCUUAAGCUAUUAGGUGAGGUCCUAGAAUAUGAUUUAUAUUAUUCUCUAAUAAGAUGAAACAUAAUCUAAACUAAAUUAUUAAUUGCAUCAAAUAAAAUAUUAAUUUAAUUAAUUUUUUUUAUUCAGUCAAAUUUAAAUUGAACUAGAUAUAAAAUAAUCACAUGAUCAAAUUCAUUGAUCUAAUUAGGAUUUUAAUUAUUUUAUUAACCCAACUAAACUGGAUUCAAAUUAAUCAACCCAAUAUCUUGUAAGAAAAAACUAAUGUUUUAAUAAAAAUAGAUGUUUUGAUGACUUAUAUAUUGACGUAAUAAUCUAACAAUCCAAGCAUUUUCCAAAAUUAUUACCUAAUCUGAGUUUGACACCUAAUUAAAAGUGAACAUGCAUGAUUGAAAGAAGACAAAACAUAACGACAUCUUUUCUCAUUUUCUCUAUUGAAAUCUCGAUGUUGGAGAGUAUAGUGGUAAUUAUAAUUUAAUGUUUUUUAUUAGAAAUAUAUUAAAAAAAUUAUUUUUAAUAUUUGUAUGUCAAAAUGAUUUGAAAAAAAAUUAAUUUUAAAUAAAAAAAUUAAAAUUUUAAGAAAUGUAAUUUUAACAUGUUAGAGAAUUUAUAUCUUGGAAUCUCAUAUAACAAUUUAAAUUAUUGGGUUGAGUUGGUUUUUUGACAUAAUAUCAGAGAUUUAAUGACUAAGUAAUUAUAAGUUCGAAUUUCAUCAUCUCUAUUUAUUUGAUAAAAAUUAAACACAAGAUAGUGUGAGCUUGUGCAAAUUUCAAGUUUAAAAAACUUUAACUUAAAAAAAUAUAUUAAAAAAUAAUAUAAAUUAUAUCUUAAAAUUUUAUUUAAUAAUUUAAAUUAUUAAAUUAAAUUAAUUACUAAAAUAACCGGAAUACCAAAUACUACCUUAAUUCCUCUGUGUUUACAGCGUUUAAACUUUAAACGCAUGAGUCAGAUUUUUUAAGGGUAGGAUCUAGGAUCUUUAGUGUUGUGUCUAGAAGUGUUUAUUGAUAUAAUUAGGCGGGGUUAGAGUUUAUAACUAAUUUAAUUUUUAAUAUUUUAUAAAUUUAGAUGUGGGCAUUUUAUGAAUUUACAAAUCUUGCAAGGAGAAAAAAAAUCAUCAUAGUACGUUGUAACAGGUGUGAUUAAUUUAUUGCAUCACCUGGAUGGUCGAAUGAUUUGUUUUUCCUUGCAUGUGCCUGAGUCCAAGGUUAGGUAAGAUGUAGCUUCGAUCGAAUCAAUAAUAACAUAGAUUAAUUUUGAGUGGCAUAAUUUAAUUGAUAAAACUUUAAAUUUAUUUUUUAAAAAUCAUCAGUUUGAGUUUUUCAGAGCCACUAAAGAUUUACAUGGUCAUUAACUUCAAAACUCGUAAAAUUAACUGAAAUACAUACAAGCUCAUCCGGAUACUCACAUUAAUUUAAAAUAAUAAUAAUAAUAACAUAGGCCCAAACGUAAGACUGGCACAUGCCAGCAGUUGCCUGUGUUCAAGACGUUUGGUCUCCGCUUCAUUAAGGAUUAUAUAUUUACGUAUACUACUUUCAAUUUAAAAGUUUAAAAUUAUUUAUAUAUAGAUAUCUUAUUUUAAUUUUUCCAUUACUAAUGAAUAUUCUACCUACUCAUAUAAACAUUUAACAACACAAAAUCGAAAGUAUUUGUUCCGUAUAAAAUUAUUUAGUUUGAACAAAACAUUUUAUAAUUUAUUGUUUGGCUUGUUAACGAAUACUAUUUCAAAAUAGUUAUUUGGGGUUCGAAAUUAGUGAGAUGCUAGUUAGUUGAAGGUCGGAUUAAAUUUCCUUUUUGAUUAAAAAAAAUAAAAUUCAACCAUUGUUAUCAUGUUUUCUAACAGUAAAAAAUAAAUUUGAUUUGUAAAUUCAAAAUUUUUAGUGUACAUUUAAUAAAAUUGAUUGAGGUUUUUAUACACUAAUAAAUUUUUUUAAAGAAUUAUUAAUGCUAAAUAAAAUUCAAGUUGAAAAUUUGAAAAAUAAAUACAAAUCAAGACACCUAAUCUUGUUUUGCAAGGAGCCCUCAAAGCUUUUUUGUUUAUUAAUAUGAAAAUGUAUUUUUAUCUAUAUAAAAAGAGCAAUAAUAUAUUUAAAUUUCAUUGAAACAAAUUAAUUUUCUAGCAUUAUCCCUUUUUUAUCAAUACAUGUUACCUCUACAAAAAAAAAUAAUUUUUUUGUUGUUCUAUAUCAUUUAUUUAAUAAAAAUAAAAAUAAAAAUAAAAAUUAAUUAAAGCAAAUAUAAAAAAAAUCUUGGACGCUUUAAGAUAAGGAUAAAACAAGCAUUUGUCUAAUUAAAACCAUUUUAUCUUAUUAACAUGCUUAAGAGAAGUUUUUUUUUACAACAUUUUAUCUUGAUUAUAAAAGAAAGUAUUAAUUUUUUUAAAUGAUAUUCUAGGAAUUUCAACACAAAUAUAUUAAAAAAAUAAAAAUAAUAUAUUGUUUGCACGUUGUCGUGGGGAACUCUUUGGUAGCGUUAUUAAACUCGGUUUUGCCUGGUAGGUCAACCUAAAGUCACUUUGACCUGGCUCCUACCUUGGCUCAAGUUUCAAAUUAAAUAGUAUAGGAAUUGACAUAAUAUAAUCAGAUCAAUUUGAUGAGUCUAAAGUAACCCAAUCAAAACCUGAUUUGAAUUAAAAAAAUUAUAAAUGCUAGUAUUUAUUUAUUUAUUUUAUAGAAAAAUAUAACACAACAACAUUCUAAGUCGAUUCAGGUCUUCAGGUUUGGCCUAAUUGACUAGGUUGAUUAGGCAAAAACCAGUUGUUUAAAAGAUUAUUAAAAAACAACAUUAAUCUAACUUUUUUAUAUAUAAGAAAAAAAUAUUGGAAUGAUGAUAUUUUAGAUAGACCUAAGUUAAGUAUGUUAACUCACCUAACUUAUGAUGAAGAUCAUAAUCCUUGCUUUAAUAACCAUGCCUUUUGAAAUCUUUUUUUUUAAUUGAAUGAUUAACAAUUUUAAAAAUUAGAGGAAGGGUGUCAAUUAAAUAGUAAAUAAAAAUAAUAAUGCAAAAUAAAAAAAACUCAUAUAAAGAAGGGUAUUGAUUAAAAUUUAAAAAAACAAAAAAUAAAAACAAAUAACAAAACAUAAAGCACUAGGUGUGGUUGGGCCUAGCAGACUAGCCUUGUGUGACUAACCAAUAACCCAAAAGCCUAGGUGCACCUCGGCCUGAAAACCCAAGCCCGAGCAACAAGGUUUAUUGUUUUUGUAAGGAUGGAUGACAUAUCAUCUAUGUUUUCUAAAAAAAAAGAUAACAUGUCAUUUGUUGUGGUGGAUAAUGAGUUGUCAUGAAGUCCAGUUUCUAACCACCAAAGUGAUUGGGAAACCAAAGUUAGUUCUUAUAGGAUCUAAAAGUUAAUUUUCUAAUCUAUUUUUUUCUUCUAAACACAUCUAAUAAACACCCUUAAAGUCUCAACAAACUAAAUUCGUAAAAAAUAUUAUUUGUUAGCCCAGAUCUACUUUUUUUGACAAAAAAAACACCAUAAUAUAACUCUUUCCAUCAAAUAAAACCUAUUGACUCAAAAAACAACUAGUUUUGUCAUUGAAAUUUGAACAACCAUCAAUUAUCUUUCUUAAAGAGAAAAAGAUGAAAACUAAUUAGUGGUGGAUCAAUGAUUUAAUGACAAAUAUAGCUUUUAAAAUAAUUUUCAUCUCUUAAAAACAUAAUUAUUAAACAUGACCUGAACUCUAAAUUGAUAAAUUGAUCUAAAAAAUUUAAAAAUCAAAGUUUGACACAAGAUAAAUUUUUAAUUGAAUCAGAUAAAAUACUAAUCUUCCAAUCCUCAAUCAACUUGAUAAGUUUAAUGUUUUAUAGAAGAAAAAUAAAAAAUUGUUAUUUUAAUAAAAUAAUUAACCUAGUGACCUAUUGAUUGAUAUAAUAACCCAAUUAUUCACAUCAAUCUCUAGAUUGGUCUGAAAACUAUUCUUAAGUUAUUUUUCUAAGUUUUCAAUUUCUUUUUCUUUGGACAAAAAGUAUUUUCUAUUACCCAAAUUUUCUUAGAUAAGAAAGCGAACCAUAAACAGUAAACACACAUAUAUAACAAUAAUGUGAGGCAAAUAAUAAUAUAAAAGCAAAACAACAUUGACAAUAACUUGGAAGAAGAAAAAGACAGAAGCAAAAGAAAAUUCGUAUUUCUUACCUUCCUCUUCACUAUGAUAUUAUUCUUACUUUGACUAAUUAAUGAGACUUUUUUUUUUUUUAAAAAAAAGAAGACAAAACCAACAAAGAAGAAAAAGACUAACGCUACCUUCCACUUCAAUAUGAUAUUUUGAUAGCAGCAGCAAGAGGCUAACUAUGUUGAAAUUGAGGGCAAUGCUCUAAAACAUAACAAUUUGCAGAAUCACUUGUCAGCACUGAAAUUUAGUCCUUCUUACUGGACAGAUCCAUUGCACCAAAGGAAAUAGCAGGAAGUCUUCCGCAGUCAUAAACAAAUACUAGUCUAGAAAGCCAGCCGAAAAAAUACUUGUAAAGUGCUCUGUCCCUGAGAAAUUUUAUCCACCAUUUAUCUCCUUGCUGCAUCCGUCCUGAUAAAUACGAUGCUGUGACAACCAUAGCGGCACGCCACCUCCUUUCCUUGACAUAAUCAUCUAUGGCUUUAGCCAUGUCUCCUGGAACAAUCAGGGCUCCAUUGUUUAUAAAUGAAUUGCCAAUGUGUCUGCCCAAUACCACAGCAUCUUCUAGUGAUGCACCACCACCGUUUCCUAGAUCAGGAGUCAUGGGGUGCAUAGCAUCACCAGCUACUGUCACAUUUCCUUUGCUUAGUUUUCCAAAUAUGAUCCCCCAUGGAGGCCUAAACAUCAAUGGUGCCCAUGACAAUGAGGAAAGAUCGGCAUGCCGCACCACGUCUAGGUAUUCUGAGGGAAAUUUUUCUGUACAUUUCUCAAGCACAUCCCUUUGCAUUUUCUCUGCCUCUCCUGACAUCUUUUCCCCUGAAAUCAAAAUUAGCUCACUAUAAAACUUUCCCUGAAAUGAUCUGAUCACAUGAACCAAUAUUUGUGUCUUGCUAAAAUGAGAGAGAAAUUAAAGGGAUGAAGAGUGCUAAGUGCUAGCCUUGGCCAGAAAAAAACCAGUAAAGUUCCCUAUCAUUAAGAGGAACAAAACCAGCCUUAUCGCUCUCAUCCAAGAAAAAACGAACUUCUUGUUUAAAUCCAUGGCCUUGAGGAAAAACUGCUAAACCCCGCACCGCUGAUCGACCUGAAUGGACCAGUUCUGCCAGUCCUAGCCAUCGUGCCACUACCGAGUGCACCCCAUCGCAGCCUAUCAGAACCUUAGAUUUGAUAGUAGUUCCAUCUUCCAAGUGUACAGCAGCCAUGGAAGCAUCACCUCCUUGUUCUAGACUUUGAAAAGCAACUAGCCUCGAAGAGAAUCGAAUUGAGUCAGUUGCCAAUUCCUCUGCCAGUGCCUCUAACAACACUUUACGGUGAAGAGUCCUAACUUGUCGAGGGUAGAGGACUUCUCGAACUUCUCCGGUACUAACAUUAGUUACGUAUCCCCUAAAUCGUGAGAAAAAGAAGUUCACGAGAAAUUAAUCUAUCAUCCAAAGCAUGGUAUUAAAAUCCAAAUUCAAGAAUUUAUAAAUAAUCAAACAUAAUGAAAAGAAAAAAUUAACAUGGUGAAACAAUUUAUUACUUGGGUGAAGGAGUAUAAAGGGGGAUGAGCUUGUGAGAAACACCAAGAGCAUCAAGGGCAAGCCAAGCAUUUGGAGAUAGGGUCAACGCUGUACCAGUGGCUCUUAGCCCUUCUGAUCUCUCUAACACCAGGGCUCGAACCCCUACUCUUUUCAAAGCCACUGCUGUUGCCAACCCUGCAAUUCCUGCUCCAACUAUCACCACAUCCUCCAUAAUUUCCAUCUCUCUCUCCCUCUGCGUGUAUGAGUGUUUCCUUCUACAGGGUACCUCAUCUUGUUCUUAUUAUAACCCCAUGUGCUUGGACUCCAAGUAUGAUCAUGACGCACUUGUAUACAUACCUUAUCUUGCAAGUAAUUAAGAAAAUAAUGUUUUUCUUCAUGGUUAUCUAGCCAAUUUGCGAGUUAAUAAAACUAAAUCUCGUUUUCGAACUAUUUAAAUAAAUAAAUAAAAAACUAGAGGCGGCUUUUUUGGAGAAAAAAAGAAAGAAAGAAAGAAGAAAGGCAAUCUCAUUGGUCAUUUAAAGUUUGUAUGAAAGAACUUUCGUUUUCAAAGAACUUUUUGUAUCAAAAUGUAUGAAAUAGGAAUUUGCCAUCUUCCAUCGUGUAAUGCAAUAAAAAUAUCUGUGCUUUGAUUAAGUCAAUAAAAAUAUCUGUGCUUUGAUUAAGUCAAUAAAAAUAUAGACACCAAACUGAAAUUUGCACUAACUCGAGUUAGAGUAUGAUCAAGCCUACAAAGUACAAACACUCCAUAACAGUACUAAAAGAAACGGUUUUGACUGAAUUUUUAUUUUUUCAGAACAUAAAUUAUAAAUUACAGGGUAUAGAAAGACAUGUUUUUAUGUUAUUUGUCUCGAGACAGUAAUCAAAUAAUAUAAAAGACUCGUUAACUAGUAAUUGAGAGCCAUCGUCUGAAACCACUCAUCUGCAGAAUCUAUAUGCCAAAAUUGAAUCUAGUCCUUCUUACUUGAGUGAUCCAUAUCACCGAAGGAUAUUUAAGAUUUGAAAUUAAUGAAAUAAAAGUGUUACAAAAAUUAAAAAUAAAAAAGGAUGGAAACUAACUUGUGGUGGAUCUAUGAUUUAAUGACACAGUCUUUUAAAAUAUCUUCAUCUCCUAUAGAAGUAAUUAUUAAAUCUACCUCAUCUCUGCAUGAUGGCUUGAAAAACUUACAAUCCAAGUAGCAAGACUCAUUCAAUUCUGAGUGUUUUUAAAAAUACAUUGUUUUUUAAAAUAUUUUUUAUUAUAAAAUAUAUUAAAAUAAUUUUUUUAUUUUUAAAAAAUUAUUUUUAAAAUCAACACAUUAAAAUGAUCUAAAAACAUUAAAAACAUAUUAAUUUAAAAUAAAAAAAUUAAAAAAAUUAAACUUUUUCACGGUAUAAAACACUGUCCGCUUAAGUUAAUAAUAUCUUUUAAAAAAAGUUUUCCUGUUAAUAAAAUAAUCAAUCAUGUAACCUAUGAGAUGACAUGAUAACGUAGUGAUCCAGGCUUUUUUUUUCUAGGUCAGCCCAUGAAUUGGUGUGGCAACUAUACUUAAAUCUCAUAAGUUAUGUUUUUAAUUUAUUUUCCUUGACAAUAAAAUAUUUUUUAUUACCCAAAUUGUUUUAGAUAAGAGGGUGCAUAAUAUAUUUAUGAAGCAUAUUCUACAUAAAACAAACUUAGUUAAAUAUUAUAGAGGAUGAUACCUACAAUAAUGUGAGGUAGCAAAACAAAACAACACUGACUAAAACAUAAUGAAAAAAGCAGAACCAAAACAAAAUUCUGACUACAUAAAAUAAGAUUCGAAUAUUAUUUUGAAAUUGGCAACCUCUAUCUCUACAAGUUGUAUGUACGUCUCAGCCUAUCGCUUCUGUAGCUGGUGGUAGAUAGAAAUUUCUGCAGCAGGAAGAUGGCACACCAUGAGGCAACAGAUGAUUGCUUUCAGCAGAAAUCCCUUAGGCAAAUACCGUUUGACAAGUCAACAGAGUCUCUCUCUUUGAACCAAAUUCUUUUUGUCAAAUCGGAUAGACAAGCAGAGGGUAAGAAACUUUGAAAAAUCUCUAGAAACCCUUGGAAGAUUUCUCUUUAAACUAAUCUUAGUUGUUAAUAGUUCAGGCUUUUAUUAAGAGAAGGCACAACAUUAAGAGGGUAUUCAAAACUUUUUGGUUAAGACCAUGAGAUCAUCGAGAGCUAUCAACAAAGGUAUAAUGAUUGUAACGUGUUUCUCGUUAUUUGUGAAAAAUAAUUUACAUUUUGAUAUGUAUAUGCACAACAUAAAAUUCAAAUCCUAUGUUGUUAGAAAAGAAAUCAGUCACCAUAUUUAUAUAUUUUGAUAACCACGUUAGUAAUUCGGCGUCGUCAGAACCUCCAAAAUAUAUUUCUAACUUUACUAUCACAAACAAAAUAAAUUCUUAGUAUAAUCAUGAUGUAACAUCCUCAAAUUAUAAUGUCAUAAAGUAUCAUAUUAGAAGGCUCUAUGCAAAUUUUUCAGAAUUUUCUGAUAACCCGAUCAAGAAUUACAAAUUUUUUUGUUUUACAUGAAACUAGUCAAUUUAUGAUUUUUCGCCUAGAGAUUUUACACGUGAAAACCAGGUUAAACUCAAGGGAAAUUUCGUUUAAUAUUUCUAUAAUAUACUGAAAUGAAAAAGAACAAAGGAUUUGAAUAAAAAUUAAAAAAAACAAAAUUCUGAAAAUAAAAUUAAUAAAUUGAUAUGUUGUUAACUCAGUUUAAAGGUUCUUACAUCCAUUUCUAUAAAUUUGUUGAUCAUCUAAGUAAAAUAAAUAUUCUUUUAUGUCAAGCAAAUAAAUUUGAUAUCCCUUAAAAUAGAGAGAAAUCGAUGAGAUUACGAGUACAUUAAUUAGACAAAGCUCUCUAAUCAAUUUCUUACCAUCAAACGAAUUUAAUAUUGAAAGCAAUUCUUAUUCACUCGGCAGUAGCCUUAGUAGUAAAGUCUGUGAAAUUAUUCUAAGCAAACUUUCAAAAGCUUGACAAUUUAACUUAAUUUAUUCUUUCCUAAUAAAUCAACAUGAGAAUUGCAACAAUCAAAUUAAUUCUUUUGCCUCUUAUUUUAGUCCCUAACAACAAUCACGGAUUGAAUGAAAUUAAAAAGCAUACAUGUCAUCUCAAAACAAUUCAAUAAGCUUGAAUAAUAGUCAAUAACAUAAUUCUGAAUAAGAAAAAAUAAAUAUUAAUUUUGAAAGAAUUACAAUGAUAACAUUACUUCUCAUAACUUGUUAAUGGAGAUGGUGUGUAUUUCUCUUGAACUAAAAGCCAAAGUUUAGUUCAUAACUGCUAGAGAAUUGACAAAAACAGAGAAAAAAAGAAUGUUGCAAAGCCUCUAUUUCAGUUGUGUUCUGCUCUAUUUAUUCUCUCCCUUGGCUGUCGAAUUUCUUCAGAAUUCUUAGGUUAAUUAGAAGUCCUUAUGCUACUUAACUCCUUCCUUCUUUAUAUGGUCCCUAAGGUUGGUUAAAUCUCUUAGAAUUUGGUUGAAAAUAGACUCUGUUGCUGUCACAACUUUGUUGUAAUUCCAACUCUGCUGCAACUUAGACUUUGUUUCUAACAUGAUUUCUUGCAAUAUUCGACCAUUUCAGCUAUAUUCUUUCAUUCAUGGCAUGUUAGAGGCUUGAUUUACGCCUUUCAUAGGUCCUAAGGCCCACCUUUUCUAUGCCAGACUAUUAGCUGUAAUGUGAUGCUCGGCACUGUUAGUUUCCUCAUCAAAUUAGAAGACCAAUCUCAUCCUUCAGAUUGCGUCCAACAGUUUGUCUUCAAAACGAUUUUAUCUGACCUGGAAUCCUUCAUAAAAGUUGUAGCCCUAGAUGUGUAGAUGAUUUUGGGCUUUUGAAUCAUAUGAUUUUGAUGUUUGAGACUCAAAGAUAUACUUAUUUGAAUCUGUAAUGUGAAAGUAGAGGAUUUUGUUAUUGCGGGUCUGAUUAGAGGUCCAAUAGAAUUCAUAUUUCUACCCAUAAUACCUUUCUAGGAAGCUUGAUAUGUUUACUUCAACUUUUAUUUAGCCCAUGUCCACAUUAUAAAAUUAUAACUUAGUAAACACUUGUCAUAUGAAGGAAAGUCUGAAACAUAAAAUAUAGAAAUUCUUAUAUUUUAGCAAUUAAUUUACAAGUUUCCUAUACAUACUAAACUCAUAAAAAUAACUUUUAAUAAGCCCAGAUAAGUUCAAAAUACAUAAAAUAUCUAUAAAGUAAUAAUAAAAACAUAUGUAUAUUUUGCACUUAUCAGUCAUAUUGUAAAAAAUAAUAAUUUAAAGUAAAGAAAUAUUAUUUAGUGCAUUUAGAUGAAUAAAUUAUUUUGAAUGGUGAUACCCAAAUUUGAAUUCAAAAAAUUAAAAUAAUUUCUCUUAAAUACCAACCUCACCAUUCAAUUUACAUAAAUGAUAUUUAUUAUAUAUACACACACACAUUAGUUUAUGCAUGGAUUUCUCACCUUACUGGGGUAAAAUGAAUGAGUUCUACAACAUCUUAUUUGCAUAUUUUUUGAAAAGUUGUUAAUUAAUGAUGCCAAACAUUUAAUUGGUGUUGAUAAUCACGAGAUUUCUUAAAUAACUUUCACACAUCUCAUUUGAGUAGACACCCAAAUUAGACUCCGAGUAAGUGCUUUUUUUAUUUUAGAAUUUUGAUUUUUCUUGCCUUGUAAAGAUCAAUUUCUAAUCUAAAAAAUGAUUAGAUUAGAAAUAGGAAUUUCCCAUCUUCCAUUGUGUAAUGCAAGAGCCUUUGGGUCUAAAUACAUUUUGUUAAUUUAUCUCUGCUUCGAUGGAGUCAAUAAAAAAUAUAGGCACCAAACUGAAAUCUGCACUAGCUCGAGUUGGAGUACGAUCAAGCCUACAAAGUACAAACACUCCAUAACAGUACCAAAAGAAACGGUUUUGAGUGAAUUUUUAUUUUUUCAGAACAUAAAUUAUAAAUUACAGAGCAUAGGAAGACAUGUUUUUUUUUUUUUUUUUCAUCUCGAGACAGUAACCAAAUAAUAUAAAAAGACUCGUUAACUAGUAAUUGAGAGCCAUCGUCUGAAACCACUCAUCUGCAGAAUCUAUAUGCCAAAAUUGAAUCUAGUCCUUCUUACUUGAGUGAUCCAUAUCACCGAAGGACAUAGCAGGAAGUUUGCCACAAUCUUUAUGCACAAGUCCAGAAAUCCUGCCAAAAAGAUACUGGUAAAAUAUUCCAUCCCUUAAAAAUUUCAUCCACCAUUUAUCUCCACCGAGCUGCACCCAUCCUGCUAAAUAUGAUCCUGUGACAAGAAAAGCAGGACGCCACCUCCUUUCCUUCACAUAAUCAUCUAUGGCUUUAGCCAUGUCUCCUGGAACAAUCAGCCCUCCAUUGUUUAUAACUGAAUUGCCAAUGUGUCUGCCCAAUACCACAGCAUCUUCUAGUGAUGCACCGCCGCCUUGUCCUAGAUCAGGAGUCAUGGGGUGCAUAGCAUCACCAGCUACUGUCACAUUUCCUUUGCUUAGCUUUCCAAAUAUGAUCCCCCAUGGCUGCCUAAACUUCAACAGUGCCCAUGUUAACGUUGAAAGAUCAGCAUGCCGGACCACGUCUAGGUAUGAUGAAGGAAACUUUUCUGCAUGUUUCUCAAGUACUUGUUUCUGUAUAUGUUCGGGAUCUCCCGUCAUGUUAUCUCCUGAAUUGAAAAUUAGUUCAGAAUAAAUGUUCCGUGCAAUGAUCUGACAUGAACGAUCAUUUGUGUCCAGCUAAAACGAGAAAGAAGGAAGGGUUUAGUGCUAACCGUUGUAG
rnacentral:lncRNA from 1 species